rnacentral:pre_miRNA from 1 species
AUGUCCCCAUGCCAUGAGGGACAUGAGGACAGUCAGCAUCCCGGUGUCCCUCUUGAUGGCAC